UAACACUAGGGGUGCUUUUGAAGCUGAGAGAGGCAUUGGCCUUAACCCUUGAACCUGCACUAGGUAAUGCUAGCGAAGGAAAGUGGUA
rnacentral:ncRNA from 1 species